ensembl:lncRNA
GAGCGAUCCGGGGCCUCUGGAUGAUCCAGGGAUCAGAUUAGUGGUUGGGGAAGAAGGAGGUGGAGGGGGCGGGACAGGGGUGUGGCAGUCUAGGGACGUAUUUAAGUCCCAAUUCCACUUUUGUGAGUUCUUGUCACUGGACCAGAGCAUAGGAACACAUCCAGGUUACACGAUGUCUGACCCAGGGGAUCUUCCUAAAGGAAAGCACCAGAAGUAUCCACAAAGGAAAAGAACCAUAUUCACUCAGAAACAACUGGCGGAUUUGCGGCUCCUGUUCAAUGAGAACCCAUACCCGACCUCCAGCCUUCAGAGAGAAAUGGCCUCAAAAAUGGAGAUACAUCCAACAGUCGUGAAGGUUUGGUUCAAGAACCACAGAGCAAAACUCAAGAGAGCCAAAUACAAGCCUAUUCAGCAAAAACAACAAGAGGCUCAACAGCAGCAAUUAGCUGAGGCAGGAGGCAAGGCCAGCUCUUCCAAGACAGGAGCAGAUACACCUCCCAGAUCCCCUCGCGGGGCCCUCCCCGCAUCCCUGGUUUAUACAGAGCAUCCAGUGCCUGCCUUUCAGCUCCGCCUGUGCCCCAAUUUUAAUGCUCACACAGACCACUUUGUUGGCCACAAAAUAGUUCAUUUCGGCUGCUGCCGAGACCCUAACAUAUACUGCCUCUCUCCCACUCUGGAAUCCCAAGUUCUUUCCACGAGCAUCAGCGCUAAUUCCUUCUGCUCUUCAUCACCACCAAGAUCUUGUCAGUGAGAGGACCCAGACACAAAAAGUCACGUGGUGGAAUGAUUUGUAAUGAUUCCCACACACGAGAAUGCUUUUCAGCCAUAGAAAGGAAGGAACACAAGAUAUACACAACAUGGAUGCGUUUCAACAUUGUGUUGAAUGAAAGAAAAAAAGACACGAAAGACAAAAUACUAUAUAAUUCCAUUUAUAUGCAUUCCUGGAGCGGGAAAUACCACAGCGCCAAAAAACAGAUUAGCGGCUGCCCAUGUGGUAGAUCUAAGAGACCAGUAUGGGCAGUAUCUUUUUUCUUUUUCCUGCUUCUUUGUUAUGAUUUUAUUUUUUUUCUCCAGUAUCAUUCAGGUUUAGUCACUGUCAGUAAGUGGAGCUUUGGCUUAUUUUUUUCUACUUUCUAUUUUUCAGUCACCUUCCCAGCCAUCUCUUUAUAACCUUGACCACUCAAAUAUUUCCAGCUCCCAAAUUUUUUUGUUAAUCUUUUUUUUUUUUUUUUAAGAUUGGUACCUGAGCUAACAUCUGUUGCCAAUCUUCCUUUUCCUUUUUUUCUUUUCUUCUUCUUCUCCCCAAAGCGCUCCCCAGGACACAGCUGUACACUCCAGGUGCAGGUCCUUCUGGUCGUGCUAUAUGGGACACCACCCCAGCCUGGCCCAAUGAGUGGUGCCACGUCUGCACCCAGGAUCUGAACCAGCAAACCCCAGGCCACCGAAGCAGAGGGCGCGAACUCAACCACUUGGCCACGGAGCUGGUCCCUCAACUCUCCUUAAGACAAUGAAAACACCACAAGCCCUUCCAAGGGAGUUCAAGCCUCCUGAUUUCCUCCUUCUGACUCCCCUCUCCCUGCAUGUGUGCAUCGAUGAAUAAAGGGACAUGUGAUCAAUUAGCCAUGUGCUUUGUAAUGUGGAUGCAAUUUUGAGCCUGUAGAAUUAUGUACGCAUUACAGCAUGUCAGACCCGGGUGUGGCCUCGCGCAGGUAGAUGCCCAUACCCCUGCCCCCUGGUCUCACAAAGGCAUCUUAGACUGAUGUGGCUGCAGUGUGAGGUUUGGGCAUCUCUACUCCACCCAGGAGCUUCAGAACAGAGGGUGGGCCUUGUGGAGGACCAGAGCCAACCCCUGUGCCCUGUCCAACCCUCUUCUCAAUGUCUACCCCCCACUAAGUCCCUUCUUAGGUAGCUGUCAUGCUACUGAGCUGACCUAAGAUAAUGUUAGUUUCUUUCCCCCUCAUUCUCUUCCCCACUGGAGACAACCAUUCCAACAUGUUUCAUGUGCCUCAUUCUGUGGUGUAUGUUCUUAUACAAACAUGCUCUCCUAAGCCAUCUGUAACCCCCCAGAAGGAACCGCUAUUUUGACUUUUGCCUAUUCAUAAAUUUCACAUAAGUUGAAUCAUUCCAUAUGG